rnacentral:ncRNA from 1 species
AACGGGGUGCCCGCUAUCGAUGCGGGCUGAGAGCAUACCCGUCGAACCUGAUCCGGUUAAUACCGGCGGAGGGAUUUGA